AUAGCGUAUAUUAAAGUUGUUGCAGUUAAAAAGCUCGUAGUUGAAUUUCGGGAUUGGCGCAUCGGUCGUGCCUCACGGGGUAUGAACUGGUGCAGUCAAUUUCUCACCUUCUGGAGAACCGCGAUGUCCUUAAUUGGAUGCCGUGGGGAACCAGGACCUUUACUUUGAAAAAAUUAGAGUGUUUAAAGCAGGCAUUUUUGCUUGAAUACAUUAGCAUGGAAUAAUAAAAUAGGACGGCAUGGUUCUAUUUUGUUGGUUUCUAGGACCACCGUAAUGAUUAAUAGGGAUAGUUGGGGGCAUUAGUAUUCAAUUGUCAGAGGUGAAAUUCUUGGAUUUAUUGAAGACUAACUACUG
rnacentral:rRNA from 1 species